AGAUCACAAUCACAAACAACAAUAAAAAUCACAAUUAAAAUCACUGCUAAACAACAAAAUUACUCGGAAACAUUUCUCCUGCGGAGCAAUUUUUCUGGCCGUUGACAAAAAAAGCAAAGUUUUGCUUUGAAUGUUUCUAUCUGUCAAAACGGUCAAAACUGCUUGAAAAAACCAAAACAAAUACCGAGUUGCCAAACAUGACCAAAAACUGCUCGACGGCAAGGUUGCAAGAUAAAUUUUCCUGGUUCAAAAGUCGAGCAGAAACUGGUCGCUUUAACUCGCUUUCGCGCGUUAACUUGCGAUAACUUGCUUUAAGGUGGCGUUAUGUGAAAACUCGGCACGAUGAGUAGCGUUGAUGCUUUUCGAGCCAGUUUUUGUGCGUUUUAGUGUGUUAUCGCGGAGUGACAUUCCCCUCGGGUGUAGUAGUUGGAGCAGAUUAGUGAUAUGGGAGAAGGAUUGUUGAAAGUGUUUCAAUAAUGGGGGAGGAUGUACGACGAGAUUUGUGUUAACACCUUUUGUGUAACAAGCCUUGAUUCCUGUUUGUGUGUUCACCUAUAUGUUUCUAUUGUCUUGGAUUAAACGUCAAGUUGUUGACCAGCAAACGAAGCGGAAAGACGUGCGUUUUAUCUCUUCCGCCGAAUUCAACUCCGUGAAAAUACAGUCCACUGAGAAAACGUGAUUUAUCGAGGAACAGUGACUACGGCAAUAGCGACAGCGAUGGCGGCGGUGGACACCCGGAUGGGCAGCAACUCCUGCAGCGGGAGCUGUCUUCCCAGGAUCAAUUGCCACCCCAGGAGUUUCCGGGAAAUGGUGGUGGAAGCCUUCCCGUCGGCGAGCCUGAUGAUGAUCACUUUUACGAUAGCCAUCGGGCGGUUCAAGAGAUUUUCGUGACAACCGUCAGCCGGAGAACGACAUCUGGCAGGAUCCCCCGGCCAACGAGGGUUGAGGUGACGGUGGAUACAGAGGCCGAUGCGAGUAGGCGAUGGUCGGGAACGUUCCAAACGGAAACGAAAAUAAUUUUAAGCUGGUGAACUGCGACGUGUCGACAUCAGUCCAGAAGAACGCCAUUCCGAUUGUCAUGAGCGGAUGCGAUGUGGUGGCCUGCGCCGGCUAGUUCCGGAAAGACUGUGGCGUUUCUGGUUCCGAUACUAAAUAAAUUGUACAGGCAUGGCGUCACUCCACCGACCCAGAAUCGUUCCUUCAGUAGCCGCAAGUAGUCCCACUGAGAUUUGUGCUGACUCCGACCAGAUGCGUGAGUUGAACCGUGGUUGCAACCUGGACAACCUUCGCUUCCCCGUGCAAGACAAGGUCGAUAGCAUGCUGUGAAAUUGUGGAAAAAAUAUAUACAAAUUUUCUUUGAAAUAUAUGCUUAUGUCUAAAAUAACUUGUAUUUAUUAAUUACAAAUAAAAAAUAAUAAUAAAUCAAUUGUUGUAUGAGGAAGGUGUGACCGUGUCCAGCUGCGUCAGCUAAAUCCCCUGCAGCCACUGCUUGUCCCGUUCGCUCAUCAGAUUCGCGUACGCGUCGUACUGCCCGGAGCGAUCCACCUUGCCACGAUGGUGCUGCAUCUGUUGCUGAUUCUUUUGACAAUUUUGCGGCGUUUGUGCUGCUGCUACGAUUCUGACCCUGCUGCUGACGAAUGAUUUUGCUGAACUUUCUGAACCAGCCGCUGGUCAGAACCUGGGAGGUUCGGCGAUAGCACAUUCGUUGGAAUUGGAGACUGAACGUUCACCUGGAGCAGGUGCACAAGGGAACCAUGUACAACGGCGGAAAAAAAAUCACUGGGUCGUCAACGGCGGCUGUUUCAUAAUGCAGGGAAAUACAGGUAGCGGACAAGGUAGUCCUUUACCUGAAGAUAAAAUGGCGGUAAGGUAACUGCUGGGGAACCUACGGAGGCGGAUGCAUUGAUUGCUGCGCCUUCUGUUCGUACAAACAUCCUCUCCUUUCUUGGCUCUCCGCCUAUCCUCUGAUGGUGCUGCUGUGCAUCACCGGAUGCUGCGGUCCGGCGUGCUCGGCAUCAUCCACACGCUCAGGUCCAGCUGCAACCUAGCGCCGAUCCACAGCGCACCUCGAAUUCAAAUUCAAAUUUCCCGUAAAAACUAAACGAUGCAUUCAUUUCCCAAAACUAAAUCAAAACACAAACACUUGACAGUUUUGCGAGCGAAAGUGACACGAGGCAAAUCAAUGUUUUCAAAGCAGGUGUGGUGCUGUCAAAUAUGAAAUAACGUGAGGAAUUUAAUUCCUUAAUGUAUUAAAUGCGAAAAAUUAAUAUAUUAAGGCCAAUGUCAUGCCCCUCGCAUCCCGCCAUACGUCGCAUCAAGAGGAUGACUCAGUGAGAAUCAAAAGAGAAGAGUAGAAGUGAAGUGAAGGAAAACGACUGGAAAAAAUGUACCAGUUCGUAAAUAAGGAACCACAGUUCCAACAAAUUUUAUUAAAAAGAGUUCUUGAUCUAAAAACAAGACUCAAUUAUUCUAUAGAAGAUGGAAAUAUGUCCUCUUCUCUUAUAAAAGACCUGAGUGCCCUGUUAAAAUGGAGUGCAAAAAUUGGCCUCCUUGGGGAGUCAGAUGUCAAAAACGUUCAAUAUAAUUUGAACAUAGUACGAAAAUGUACUAAUCAAACAAUCAACGAAUCAACAUCAAGUGAAUUGAUGGAUAUAAGGAUAAAGAAUCAGCAGAAGGCAAGAAGUUAACUACCGGGUUUGAUGUUUGAAAACAGUCCAAAGUGUUUUAUUGAAAUGACAAUUCAGAAUAAAUCAACACAAAUGGACAACAUACAAAUAAACAAUAUUCAAGAAGAAUCGCCAAGCAACGUUAUCUUAAUUGAAGAACGUAAAAAGUUCACCAGUUCGAAAAACAAAUUUACAAAAAGGAUAAGAAACAUAUUUCAACGUCAACAUCGCAUCAUACGGAGCAACAAUCCAGCAAACAACACGCCAACAAAAAGUUCUAUCGGAACAAAGCGAAGCCAACAAAAACCAAGGGAACAACAAGUUAUCUAGAAAUCAACGGAACUUCAAGUCAACGAAUUGCAUGUCAUCGAAUAGGUAUGUGUUAACAUAUAAAGUUAAGUUCGUAGACACAAAUUCCAAAAUUUUGUCAAAUCAAAGCCUUUUUUACGAUAUGGGUAAAAAGUUGUCAAUUGAUAUUUGAUAAUGGAAAUACAAAUCAACACCACAUAAAUAUGUUUUACCAUGUAAGGCCAAUUUCAAAAUUAUAAAUUGCAAAACCGCUUUUACGAUCGGGGUAAAAACACAUCCAUAUAACAAGUAAAAACAUCGUAGGUUACAGAUCAGUGAUUUAGACCGAUUCAGAUCAAAAUGGCAAGACUUCUGUUAACUAUAUUAACAAAAUAUUUUGCAAAAUUUUUGAAGUAAAAUUGCUCACUCCAUAUCUUAACAUCGUGGAAUACGCUUUUAAGAAGCUGUUAUCGAAUGUCAAAGACACAUGUUUUUCAAAUGAUUUUCAUGGAAUAACGACAAUAAAACAAAAUAAAACUGGAGAGACAGUUAUUGAUCGGUACUAAAUUGCUUGAUAACUGAAAUUCAAAUAGAUAAAACAAUCUCCACCGUGAUCGCGCUCUUGGCGACACGACAGCAGCAGCGGACUUCAGCUGAGCUUACUGAAACGCUUCUUCCUCGGGCCUCUUCUGCGCGUGCAGCAAGAAACACUUCUGAUCGGGUAGUCGCACUUGCUUGUAAGCGAGACACUUUUUUCUUCUCGGGAAUUUUACUACGCUUGCAGCAAAACAGCUCCUGUCGGGGUGUUACACUAGCUCGUAAGAGCAACACUUUUUCAGCUCGGGAAGCCUCGUCGCAGCCACACCUUCCGAAACCUUCCUACUGACGCUUGCAGCAGGCCCUUUCCGUCGGUGCUGUGGCCUCGACGCAGCUGGAUUCUGGGACCGUCCCGCUGACGCUUGCAGCAGGCCACGUUCCACUUUUUCUUCUUCUUCUGUGUGCAGCUGGAGCGACCGCCAAAUGCGCAGCGGUACUGUGAAUUGGAAUUUAUCACUCUUGGAAACACAAAAUGGCGUCGCUUCGCGCACUACACACAGGCACAGAUUCACACAGACAUCUUCACGUUUUGCGGACUCUUGCCGCCACUUUUUCCGCCGUUCUUAGGCCACGGAGUCGCCUUCCGGAAAGCCCUAGAACUGUCACUUUUCCGGAUCCCGAUAACGCACUCUUCUUCCACGGCAAGAUGGCGGCGCGUGCCGUUUUCUCGCCGAGCGCACACUCUUCAAAUCUUCUGCCGGUGGCCAGGGGGCCACUUCCGGUUCACUUUCUUUCGCUCGACGCGGUCCGCUGACCUUCCGUCAGCGUCUUCCGAUCCGUCGUUCUGCAGGACACAGACACACGGCACAUUUUCACGCGGAGCACUCGAGACGAUCGCGGGAUGGAGCAAGCUCCGGAGGAACGCGGGAAGUUCAAGCCCGUUACGACUCUGAACUUUUCUUCUUUGAUUUUUUUUUUCAAGAUGGCGACCAUCAAAAUGAGUUAAUGAUGAUGAUCUUUUAGCUAAUUAAAUUCCCUACAAAACGCUUCUAACAGAUCUGAAAAAUUCUUUUCCUACGCGGAGAUAUCGCCUUGCAACCAUUUGUACUAACUGACAUUUUCGAACGCAUCAUGGAUGUGCUCUCUUAUUUUUCAUCAUGCCCAGAUCGAAAGUCCGUAGACCCACGAUGUUUUGUAAGGCAACGAUGUUUUUCGAAAAUUUCGAUGAACUGUAGGCUGCUCGGUAGAGUAAAAGAGAAGGCAUGAUUUUGAUUUUCAUCGAAGUUUUGCAAAGCAUGCUCUCUCGCUCUUUCGUGAUUGCGAAAAUUUUGAAGAACUGUCAAACUGCCAAACAACCAUCUUGCUUUUGAACAUUUUUUUUUUUUUCAAGUCGGGAAAUUUCGGAAGAAUUUCAGCUUUACGGUGAGUAAAUUCUUGUAUUUCUGAGUAAAUUUGAUUAAUUUAAAGUUCUCCUUAUUAAAGCCGUGCCGAUCUGCUGCUAAACAAAAACAAGUCCGUACCUGAAUCGCCCACCGGAACCUGCCGGCAAGUGGUGACCCUCGAAAGGACAAGCUUUACCAGAGAUGCCAGCUGAGCUCAGGAAAAUGGGCCACGGUGUUCAAAUGGUAAUUAGCUCAGAACGCUCGAGUUUUAAAUUUUUAUUAAAAAUCAUUUCUUCCAGAAUUUCAACUCCAAAGAUGCUCCCGGAACCUGGUCAAGAUCAUUUGCCCAUUAGCCCUGGUCAGUUCUCCCAGCAUGAAUCAUGCAAAUCUCCGGAAGGACAUACGGGACAUUCACUAGGAGGAAAAGCUGGGAACACUGCGGGAAAGUCUAUCAGCAAGAACCUGCCGGCUUUUUGGUGCGGAAAAUCUGCAGAUUCGUCGACAAUACUGCCAGGCAGAUAAGAAGGUUCAAGUUCGACGGCUAUUUCCGGUCUUAGCAAAAUGAGAUCAAGGAGUACAUAAACUGCACCUUGCCACUGUUCCGGAAACAACCAGUCGAAAUGCAGGAACUGGUCCAGCGAGGAGUUGGUUUCCGUCUCGUCCCGACGACGUGAAGGAACCGAUAAACGAUAGCCAAUAACCUCCCCGCCCGUUGACCACAAGAGCGAAAUAACCAUGAUUUUUGCAAGUUUUUCAGAUUUUUGGUAAUUUCGUUAUAGUAACUGUUGAUUUUUUUUAUAUAGAUUCUUUACAGUUGUAGACGUCUGGUUGAUCAGACCGAUAAUAGCUUGCAAAACGGGCGUGCACUUGAACCUGCCCUGGAAACGACAAUUUGGACGUCGCAAGCGUUGGCAUACGCAAUACGAAUGCGUCCAGGUUCGGUUGACGAAGACCGAUUCACGUACUUGUCCAUAACAAGCGGUCCAACGCGGAUAGUUCAGAACCACCAUACUUCAGAACCACUUCAACGGAAACAACGGGGGACCCGCAUAAACGAGAACCUUUUUUUUUUUUCUGUUUGAGUAUUAAGACACGGAAUCCUUAUUACGAGGACUAUUGUAUCGUGUUACCCAUUUUUACUGUUAUUAAGCAUUUCCAGAUCUAUAACACAGUCCCUAUUGAGAGGGAAAGUGCUGUUCCAUCCAGAUGCUGUAAACUCCUUUCCUUGUGCCUUGUGCGCUAUGUAUCGCUAGAACCGCGGUGACAAUUUUUUCGUGUCAUUUUUCAAGCUCUUCCCAGCAGCUAUUAUUUGCCGCGCGGGGUCUUGUAAAGACAAUUGUCUUUUUGCGGUGCUAUUUUUGCGGUGUUCCCUUUGCUCUGAUCUGGACAAUGCGACUGGACUGCAGUGCAAUACCGAUCGGCUGGGCAUUAUUUACAUGCGAAGACACGAGGAAAGUAUUUUGGGAAAGAGGCGCAAAGGAAUAUCCCAAGAUCGAUCACAUGCUUGAAGAGCACGUGAAGCAACCGUUUUAUACUCAUACGGUUGCUGCUACCUCUGAACUUAAACCUAAUGCUGCCACCCUGAGAAGAACCCAUGACUUUCCGCUUAUGAGGCGAAAACCCGUAACCAUUCGGCCACAGGAGGUUGGCAACGAGAACCUUAAAAAAACUUUUUGUUAAAUGGUUUACUCACCAUUUCAGAGAUCGUAACCACUAUUUGAAAAAUGGUAGGAAAACCUUUAAAAUACCAUAUCGGAAAUGGUACCCUACCAUUUUUCAUAAAGUUCGACCAUCUGAGAUGAGGGUGGUUAGCAACGGUAACCUUAAAAAUCUCCGAACAACGUUUCGUCAGAUUACCAUUUGUGUAAUGGUGAAAAUAAAGUUAAUUUUCGCGUGGAAGCGACCUUUUUCCUCCGGUUUUUACUGUUUCAGAAACGGUUUUUCAAUGGUAUUUUAAGGUUUUUUUUUUACAAUUUUUAACCUUGCUGCUACUGUUUUACAAAUGAUUCGUAAAUGGUUUUUUAGGGUUUUUCUUGCUAUUUUUACCGAGCGCUACUAUUUUAGAAAUAGUUUUCCCAUGGUUAUUUAAGGUUUAUUCUAUAAUUUUCUCCCAGUUCCACUAUUUGAGAAAUAUUUCAAAUGGUUUUUAAUAGUUUUUCUAGCAUUUUUUACCUACCUAAUUAUUACAGAAUUGUUCACUUUUUGACGGAUAGUUCACAACAAUAAUAUUAAAACUUUUUUGGCUUUGAUUCUAGUUGAUUGCCGAUUCUGUUCGGUUGAUCAUACUGCCAAAGUCGUCCAAACCUGAAAAAAAGAAGAAAAAAAUCACAAAGUAUCGAGUAGAAUGUUAUUCAAAUAUGUAUACUUAUCUGAUGAUUCAAAUGAUUUCCUUGAUUAAUGCCAAUCGUGCGUUCGCUUCGAUUUUGUUUUGUCGGUCGGCUGCCGCCGAAUCCUCCAGCACCAGCUGUUCCGUUAUUUCAAGUUCUCCACGGCGCUGAAAUGAUCAACAAGAAAAAUGUAAACAAAGUAUCUGGUAAAUCAAAUGAUUUGUUUGAAAAUUAUAUUGUGAAUACAGACAAAAAUCAAAUUUCGAGCGCAUCUGCGAAGGCCACCACUUAUCACUCGCGAAACAAUUUAAUGGGAUCCCUUUUUUAAUGUAGAAUUUUUGUGCUGUCAUCUGUCACAAAAAAAAGCAGCCGCAACAAAAACAAACGUGAUUCUUGAAACAACAUUUGGAAUCUUUUUUUUUCAACAAAGGAAUAUACAGUGCCGAGGAACAGCAGGAGAUGGAGUACGACGAUUAUGAGGAGAAGGAAUACCUCCGAGAUCCCGUUGACAUAGAUUAUGAUCCGUUUGCAGACGAACGCGUCGAUACCGAAUCGACAGACUGCGGCAAAGACGGAAACGGAAGCGAAGAUGACCGAGGAAAGGAAGUUCAUGAAAAAGAAAAACCGUCGCAAAAUCGAUCCCAAUUCUUAAGUUCUGAAAAUCACCAGACCAGGCAUCAAGGACCUUUCAUUUGAACGCGUUUUUUGCCAGCGU